UAGGGCUAUCUUGUGCUCUGAUGCUGCUACAGAAGCUGCUAGGUACGGGUUUACUGAGUCUGUGGACAGACCGGAAGGAUUCUUGGUUUUAGGUGUAGCUUCUCAGGGAGACCAGAUCACCAAGAUUAAGACCCCACCGGAGGAUACCGAGUCUUUAGAAGAGAAGAGCUUCUGGGAAAUGCUUCCAUUCAAUUGUCCAAAGCAUUUGCAUAAACAGCGAGGAAAAUAAGUAAUUAAAAUAGCGAUUGAAAAAAAUGGAUAGACAAAACGGUUUCGGGACUUUUUUAGUUUGGUUCGGGAAUUUCACUAUUUUUUUCCUCCCCUACCUAUUUGUAUAGCUGAAUUUUGCUUGAAUAUUCAGUUGUUCAUUCUGUCUAGAAUACGAUUCGAUCUCAAACCCAGAUACCAAAAAGUGCAGAAGAUUGUAAAGCAGGAACCGUCUGAAUUUGUUUAUUAUUUUACAUCAUUGUGGAAUCUGCAUAUCCUGCAUUUACCGUUGCAUAUUUGCUUGGAUGAUACAAGGGAAUCAAUAACAACCAUUCUUUACCAUAUUUUAAUUCAAAUAGAUUAAAUAACUGUACAUUUUUAGCAAAUUUAACUCUCUUUCAACAAUCUUGAGAAGAUCUGAUGAUGCAUUUUCCAGUUUCAUUAAGAUAUUGAUGAUAGCGACGAGCGAAAUAUUGCUACGUAAUGCGCUAAUCAUUCGAGUACUUAUUGCUUUAAGCCUUAAAUCUGCAAUAAUUUGAAGAAAAAAAAAUUACAAGCAUAUAUUAUAUAUAUGCAGGAUUCUCAUUGGAAACCCCAGCUCUGUAAUAUUACAAGUUGCAGGAUUCUCACAUUAGAAUCGGAACACGAACAUGCAUGGCAGUUAAUCAGCAUACCGAACUCGUCAUUCAUGGUCGUACACUCUUAAUACAAAUCUAACUUGAAGAACUAAAGAGGGGUUUAACAAUCAACAGUCAAAAUACAUGUUUCAUAAGCACAUAUAAUCUGAUGUUGUAGGUAGCUGCAUGUUGUUGUCAUUCUUUCUUCUCUUCCUUGGAUUCAACCUUCUUCUCUUCUUUUGCAGCAACCUUCUUCUCUUCCUUGGUCACAUUCGUCGCCGCCGCCUUGACCCUUGCUUUGCCCUUCUUGGGCUUCAUGAAGCAGAAACAAGAGCAGCAGGGACACUGGAAUAAGAACUUCAUAGCUUACUUAACCCAAUAAUUCUCUGCUCUCAAAUUUUCCUCAGAACUAUA